rnacentral:lncRNA from 1 species
GAGCCUGGAUAGCUAAUUCACCAGCGAAACCUAAAUUGCUUACGACCACCACGAAUGGGCUAUUUACCUCUGAAGUCCUGAUGCAAGUCAUAUGUCUGGUUACUCCAGCACCUGCUAAUCACUCAGUUCUUUGAAUUUUUAUUGCAUAAGAGUCCUUAUCCCUCCUUUGGGCAUUUUUGGAUAUAUUAACUUUUCAUUGCAUCAUACAAUUUGUUUUGCAGCU